rnacentral:tRNA from 1 species
GAAAAAGUUAUAGGGCUAUAAGAUUGGCUUGAAACCAGUUUUUAGGGGGUUUGACUCUCUCCUUUUUCG